rnacentral:rRNA from 1 species
AACGAACGCUGGCGGCAGGCUUAACACAUGCAAGUCGAACGGUUGUAGCAAUACAGCAGUGGCAGACGGGUGAGUAACACGUGGGAACCUUCCUAGGGGUACGGAACAACUCAGGGAAACUUGAGCUAAUACCGUAUACGUCCGUGAGGAGAAAGAUUUAUCGCCCUUAGACGGGCCCGCGUAGGAUUAGGUAGUUGGUGGGGUAAGUGGCCUACCAAGCCUACGAUCCUUAGCUGAUCUGAGAGGANGAUCAGCCACACUGGGACUGAGACACGGCCCAGACUCCUACGGGAGGCAGCAGUGGGGAAUCUUGGACAAUGGGCGCAAGCCUGAUCCAGCCAUGCCGCGUGAGUGAAGAAGGCCUU